rnacentral:rRNA from 1 species
UCGCGGAUCAGCAUGCCGCGGUGAAUACGUUCCCGGGCCUUGUACACACCGCCCGUCACACCAUGAGAGUCGGGAACACCCGAAGUCCGUAGUCUAACCGCAAGGAGGACGCGGCCGAAGGUGGGCUUGAUAAUUAGGGUGAAGUCGUAACAAGGUAAC